GAUGAACGCUAGCUACAGGCUUAACACAUGCAAGUCGAGGGGAAACGACAUCGAAAGCUUGCUUUUGAUGGGCGUCGACCGGCGCACGGGUGAGUAACGCGUAUUCAACCUGCCCACCACUUGGGGAUAACCUUGCGAAAGUAAGACUAAUACCCAAUGAUAUCUCUAGAAGACAUCUGAAAGGGAUUAAAGAUUUAUCGGUGAUGGAUGGGGAUGCGUCUGAUUAGCUUGUUGGCGGGGUAACGGCCCACAAAGGCUACGAUCAGUAGGGGUUCUGAGAGGAAGGUCACCCACAUUGGAACUGAGACACGGUCCAAACUCCUACGGGAGGAAGCAGUGAUGAAUAUUGGUCAAUGGACGGGAGUCUGAACCAGCCAAGUAGCGUGCAGGAUGACGGCCCUAUGGGUUGUAAACUGCUUUUAUAAGGGAAUAAAGUGAGUCUCGUGAGACUUUUUGCAUGUACCUUAUGAAUAAGGACCGUCUAAUUCCGUGCCAGCAGCCGCCGCAG
rnacentral:rRNA from 1 species